rnacentral:lncRNA from 1 species
CUGGGAAAGAUGGAUUGCCAUAUGCAGAAGAAUAAAACUGGACUCCUAUCUGUCACCAUAUAAAAAAAUCAACUCAAGGUGGAUCAAAGACUUAAAUAUAAGACCUGAGACUAUAAAAAUGCAAGAAGAAAACCUAGGGAAAACUUCUCUGGACAUUGGCCUAGACAAAGAAUUCAUGAAUAAGACCUCAAAGGCAAAGACAACAAAAACAAAAAAUAGACCAUCUAUACGUGGUCUUCCCUCUGUGCACGUCUGUGUCCUAAGCUCUCCUUAUAAGGACAACAGUCAUAUUAGAUUAGGGCUCAUCCUAACAACCUCCUCUAAUCUCAUUACCUCUCUGAAGAUCCUAUCUGCAAAUACAGUCACAUUCUGAGGCAUUUGGGGUUAGGGUUUCAACACAUGCCUUACUUUGCUCGGGCUGCCUUAACAAAAUAGCUUCAACAACAGAAAUGUAUUUUCUCACAGUUCUGAAGGCUAGAAGGCUGAGAUCAGAAGGAGGGCUGUCUCCCUUGCUUUCAGACAGCUGCCUUUUCACUGCAUCUUCACAUGGAAGGAGGAUGAGUGGGGAGAGAGCUCUCUGGCAUCUUUUAUAAGGGCAUUAAUUCAAUCAUGAGGGUCCUACCCUCAUAAACUCACCUAAACCUAAU